GAGUGGUAUUUUGGGAAGAUGAAAUUAAAAGGCCUUUUUCAUCUGAACCUACUUUGUGUUAUGUUGAGUACAUUUCCGCAACAGUCUGCACAACAAUUUGGGCAACAGACCAAUGCCAGCACAUACAACAGUCUGAUGAAUAUGAAUGCCAAUAUGCCAGUAAAUGCUACUGGCAGCACUAUGGGUCAGAUGCCAGGGCAAAUAGGCAUGACUCCAAUGUCUGUGUCAGGGAUGUCAACUAUGGGUCCAGAACAGAAAUAUUGCUGACAACUCAGGAUGGCUGAUCAUCAAUCCAAAAAAGGUUAUUUUGGGUCCACGCAGCUUUUGAGAGCAAUGCACUGUGAGAACAUACAGCAAAGACACUUGCACAGAGAUGGAAAUUGCGCCACCUUGUGUGCUGCUGGGGAUUGGUGCAGCCCAACUAGAACCACUGUGCCAGCCUGCUAAGGUGUACAUUUCUUAACAAAAGAGAAUUGUUUCUCUGUUUUUAUUAGAUGUGUUUGUUUUAUCAAAAAGAAGACUCUUGGCAGCAGUACACCACUGGGUCGAAAACUCAAAUCGUUUUGGAUUUGCUUUGGUUUUUAAUUGUCCUUUAGUGUCAUCUGGUUGCUACCUUUUGCUUGCCAAAUCUUGCAUUUACUUUAACGCAGUACCUAGACUUGUUUUAAUUUUUAUUUUGGCAGUAUUGUAAAAUGUCAUUUGUAGUAUGGUCGUUAUUUUUACAAACAUUUGAGGGAAAAAUGUGACUGCUGAGUGUCAGCAUAGGACAGUGUGCUCGUUGAUGCACUUUAGAGAGGGUUGAAGUAGUCAAGGAUUGCUGCAGUGUUUCCUGAUCACUCUAUGUAUAUUUACACAUUAGUAAAUUCUUGUUUUUGUUUUCCAAAUCAUCUCUGCUUUAAAUAUCCCAUUGAUAUUUUGCAAUGGAACACAACUGUACGACCAAUGUCCAACUUUUUAAAUCUGCAUAUGCAAUGCCAAGCAAUAAUCUUCUUUACUUUUAAAAUAUUGCAGAUAAAAUUUCAAAUGGGGUAAAUACAAGGUGCGUGCUGUUGACUCAAAGCAAGGUACUGCAGCAUAAAACUCCUGAAAAGCUGGCUCCUGUGAAUAUAUCUUGUAAAUAAUGAAUACAAUAUUAUAUUAUAUAUACACUUUUAUAGGUCACACUUUCUGAUUUCGUUUUUUUGCACAGCAUUGGUGAGGCUAAAUAUUCGACAGACUCUUAUUUCUGUACACUUGCCUUUUAGCACCAGUUCAAGUUGUCUGUCCUGUUUGCACCAGGCCUUGACAAUUGAGCCAAUCGGUAAAAAUGUGCAAAGACUUUAGAUUUUUUCCAUGUUGAUCGCCCAGAUUUUAUCUUGUGCUGCCAAUCCAGCUUUUAACUUUCUAAAGUAUUUCUUUCUUCUCUCCUCCUCCUCUCGCUAUCAAUAUAUCUAUAAAAAGAGGUGCUUCUGAAAAGUGCAACUGCAUAACUCUUACAUGAAAAUCAGUGCUUACUUUGACCAAACAGUAACUGAUCAAAAGUUUAUAAAAUGACUUUUUUUCCCCACUAGUAUUUGUUUUGUUUAUACUGAAAUAGAAUUGCCCAUCAAAUGCUGCUUGGCCACCCCCUCAACUCUGUGUGACAGAGAAAGAGAGGGGUUGCCUGUAAAUUUGCUAAGGAUUAAUUCAGUGUCUAUGCUAUGGUGAUUGAUGAUUUAUUGAUCCUUGUGAAGGGGCACUUUGGCAUUCCAUUACUUCUACAAAUAUAACGGGAUGGAAUCAGAUUUGUAUCAUUGAAGUAAAAGAUUCGAUUUUUAUAACAGGUUUUAAGUGGUCUUGCCUCAAACGUCAGCUUGCUAUAUAUAAUUAUACUCCAAAGGAACAAUAUUCUGCCUGAUUAUUUUGAGUGUAAGCUAAUGAUUCUGUAUGAUUCUAAAUAAGCAAGCUUUAUGAUGACUUGGUGAAUAAUUAACAGGACUGAACAUAAUGCAAGUCAUAGCGAUAACAAUUAAUUCCGUGGACAUUUUUCUGUUUAACUGCGAAACUAAAUUUUGACUGCUCUUGACAUUUUUUUUGGGUAUAUCUUUCAAUUUUCUGUUUAAAAAUUCUUCUCAAAUUAAUCUGGAAGUAACUCUGUUACCAAUUAGAGCCACUAAUGUUAAGGUGUGUUCAGAUUUGUUUAAACAAAAACAAGUUUCUAGAUUGCAGUGAUUUUUUUCCAAAGUUUGUAAGAAAUAUGGAAAUUAUACUGUAGUUGAAAGAAACAGAUUAAACUAUAGAUGUUAGGUUGACAAAGCAGCAUAAAGAUAAUAUGCUCACCACAAGGGAGUGGAAUAAUUUUUGCACAUCUAAGCCAGUUUGUAGUUGUAUUCCUAAAUGCUUAUCAUAGCUAAUGUAAAUUAUUUUUCUUUUCAUACUACCAUUUGUUUUCUUUCAUUUCUUUCUACUCCAACAUUUAUUGAUUUGUUGGAGCUAUCCGCAAGUUUGGAUAUGUCUGCUAAUGUAUUUGAAGGAAAAAUUUACUCAAAUUUGAGUGCAGAAUGAGUGCACUGAAAACAUAUUUUUCCCCAAAAGGAUGCAGCAUUUUAAAUGGAGACUUCUAUCUCCCUAAUGAUUGAAGUCAAAUGUUCAGAUGGUACAGAAAUCUAUGCAACAAUUCAAUGGACUGUAAGGUUUCCACACUGCUAAUGUGAGUUGAGUCAGGCCACUAUAGAUUUUGUUAAUUUUUUAAACAAGAUCAAUAUUUAUGGUGUUACUGGAACUAUGGUAGGUAAAGAUUGUGUCAAGUUUGGUUAACUUAGUUAUUGCAGCUUGAAUUUGUAGAGAAGCAACACGGUGGCUCAGUGAUUAGCACUGCUGCUACACAGUGCCAGGGGCCCGGGUUCGAUUCCACCCUCUGGCAAUUGUCUGUGUGGAGUUUGCACAUUCUCCCCAUGUUUGCGUGGGUUUCCUCUAGGUGGUCUGGUUUCCUCCCACAGUCCAAAGAUGUGCAGACUAGGUGUCAUUGGCCAUGCUAAAUUGCCCAUUGUGUUCAGGGAUGUGUGAGAUUAGGUGAGUUAUAGGGGGAUAGGUCUGGGUGGGAUGCUUUGAGGGUCAAUGUGGACUUGUUGGGCUGAAGGGCCUGUUUCCACGCUGUAGGGAUUCUAUGAAAAAAAACCAAGUGCUAGACGAGUGGAAUAGGAAAAAAAUGCUGCUCUUGGCAACUUAUGUGAAUAUCAUCUUAAGUGGAAUCUAUUUUAGUUGAAGCAAUGGGUACAUUUUGUGCAACUACUGUCCUGAAGUCUUGCCUGAUCAUAUUGAUCACUUAACUGCGUUGAAAAGAAAAAUAGUUACUCUUAACGGUGACUUAUAUAUUCCACAAUUACUGACCUUUUUAAUGACAUCUUCUCAAUCUUAUGUGAAACAAAGCGAAUAUUUGAUUUAAUUUUUGUGUUCUUAAGAUGUGUUACUGUGUGUCAACUGUCAGGAAACAGAAUUAUUGCUUUAUUAGAUAAGGUUUAAGUAGCAGCACCUCAUUUUUUUAAUUUUAGAAGAUUCCCUUUAUGACUCUGAAUUUAUUUAGGGGUUUUUAAUGAAAUGAUCUGAAUGCUUUCCAGAAGCAUCGUUGCAGGCUUCUUUGAGCCAUUAUUGCUACAUUUUGAAUGUGGGACAGGCAUUUAGCAGCCAUUGACUAGCGCUCUCUGGUGUGAAAAUGACCCAGAAUAAAAUUUGGCUGUCUGAAGCCAACCACGCUUCAUAGAGCUGAGCAAUCCAUGCGACGGGGGUAUUAUAGUUCAGCUGUUGCCUGGCCAAGUUGAAAACAAAAAUGGCUGUGUACCUGCUGUUUCUACCAAUUUGGCAAUAGAGUUUCAACCCUGUAGUAAUAAAGUUGAGCUUUGGGAGUGGGAAUACAGUACACACUUGCCUUAUUUGUAGAUGGGUAGCUCACAGAGAGAGUGUUUUCAGAAUUGAAUGAUUAAUCAUGGUACGUUUACAUUGAUGAUGACAACCUUUUGCUGUUAAAAACACUCAGGUUUGCUGCGCGUCUGGACUGAGGUCAAAUCAAAUCAAAAACAGAAACUAUUGACUAAAUUGGUUUGAUAACGUGAGGGAUCAUGGCAUUAACCCAGUAAUCUGAUGUUGGCUGCAUUUCAGUAACUGAUCCUUAGUUUUCCACGUUGAUCUUCAUUCUAUGUUUCAUUUUUAUUCAGUUGCACUUUUCUGCAUCCUGAGGAGGAAGUGGAUAUUAAAAAUACCAUACUUGUAUUUGACAGUGUCCUUAAGAAAACAGCCUAUUAAAAUGCAUAUUUUAUUAUUCAUUAUUAUUUUAUACUUGGCUUUGCUUUCCCCUGUUAAAUUUAGGCAUGAUGAUUUGUCUGAUCUCCAUACCACAUACACCAAAACUCUGAAUAUUAUGGCUAUUUAGCAGGAAUCAUUCCUUGGAUAAAAAUGUUCAGAUCUAAAACCGCAGAUUGAUGUACAUACAUUCCUCACUGGAAAAAAUGCCCAUUUACAGCUGUUGACUUGGUACUGUGAGCGAUAUGAUUAUUAAAUUUUCAACCGAAAGGUAACUUGCUAAGCUA